rnacentral:rRNA from 1 species
GACGAACGCUGGCGGCGUGCUUAACACAUGCAAGUCGAACGGAAAGGCCCCGCUUUUGUGGGGUGCUCGAGUGGCGAACGGGUGAGUAACACGUGAGUAACCUGCCCUUGACUUUGGGAUAACUUCAGGAAACUGGGGCUAAUACCGGAUAGGAGCUCCUGCUGCAUGGUGGGGGUUGGAAAGUUUCGGCGGUUGGGGAUGGACUCGCGGCUUAUCAGCUUGUUGGUGGGGUAGUGGCUUACCAAGGCUUUGACGGGUAGCCGGCCUGAGAGGGUGACCGGCCACAUUGGGACUGAGAUACGGCCCAGACUCCUACGGGAGGCGGCAGUGGGGAAUAUUGCACAAUGGGCGGAAGCCUGAUGCAGCAACGCCGCGUGCGGGAUGACGGCCUUCGGGUUGUAAACCGCUUUCGCCUGUGACGAAGCGUGAGUGACGGUAAUGGGUAAAGAAGCACCGGCUAACUACGUG